UGUUGCAUGGCUGUCGUCAGCUCGUGUCGUGAGAUGUCGGUUAAGUCCGCUAACGAGCGCAACCUCGUCGUAUGUUAUAUGUGUCAUACGAGACUGCCGGUAAAAAGCCGGAGGAAGGUGAGGAUGAUGUCAAGUCAGCAUGACCUUUAUAUCCAGGGCUACACACACGCUACAAUGGUCUGUACAAUGGGUAGCCAAGCCGCGAGGCGGAGCCAAUCCUGAAAGCAGGCCUCAGUUCAGAUUGCAGUCUGCAACUCGACUGCAUGAAGCCGGAGUUGCUAGUAACCGCAGGUCAGCAAUACUGCGGUGAAUACGUUCCCGGGUCUU
rnacentral:rRNA from 1 species